CCUACGGGAGGCAGCAGUAGGGAAUAUUGCUCAAUGGGGGAAACCCUGAAGCAGCCAAGUCGCGUGGAGGAUGACGGUUCUAGGAUUGUUAACCCUCUUUGUUAGAGGAGCUAAUGUCGGUAUCUAACGAAUAAGCACCGGCUAACUCCGUGCCAGCAGCCGCGGUAAUACGGCGGGUGCAAGCGUUACUCGGAAUCACUGGGCGUAAAGGGCGCGUAGGCGGGAUAGCAAGUCAGAUGUGAAAUCCUAUGGCUUAACCAUAGAACUGCAUUUGAAACUGUUAUUCUAGAGUAUGGGAGAGGUAGGUGGAAUGCUUGGUGUAGGGGUAAAAUCCGUAGAGUUCAAGAGGAAUACUCAUUGCGAAGGCGACCUGCUAGAACAUAACUGACGCUGAUGCGCGAAAGCGUGGGUAGCAAACAGGAUUAGAUACCCGGGUAGUC
rnacentral:rRNA from 1 species